rnacentral:rRNA from 1 species
GAUGAACGCUGGCGGCGUGCCUAAUACAUGCAAGUCGAGCGAACAGACGAGGAGCUUGCUCCUCUGACGUUAGCGGCGGACGGGUGAGUAACACGUGGAUAACCUACCUAUAAGACUGGGAUAACUUCGGGAAACCGGAGCUAAUACCGGAUAAUAUAUUGAACCGCAUGGUUCAAUAGUGAAAGACGGUUUUGCUGUCACUUAUAGAUGGGUCCGCGCCGCAUUAGCUAGUUGGUAAGGUAACGGCUUACCAAGGCAACGAUGCGUAGCCGACCUGAGAGGGUGAUCGGCCACACUGGAACUGAGGCACGGUCCAGACUCCUACGGGAGGCAGCAGUAGGGAAUCUUCCGCAAAGGGCGAAAGCCUGACGGAGCAACGCCGCGUGAGUGAUGAAGGUCUUCGGAUCGUAAAACUCUGUUAUUAGGGAAGAACAAAUGUGUAAGUAACUAUGCACGUCUUGACGGUACCUAAUCAGAAAGCCACGGCUAACUACGUG